rnacentral:rRNA from 1 species
CAGUCGCCGCGGUAAUACAGAGGGUGCGAGCGUUAAUCGGAUUUACUGGGCGUAAAGCGUGCGUAGGCGGCUAAUUGAGUCGGAUGUGAAAUCCCCGAGCUUAACUUGGGAAUUGCAUUCGAUACUGGUUAGCUAGAGUGUGGGAGAGGAUGGUAGAAUUCCAGGUGUAGCGGUGAAAUGCGUAGAGAUCUGGAGGAAUACCGAUGGCGAAGGCAGCCAUCUGGCCUAACACUGACGCUGAGGUACGAAAGCAUGGGGAGAAAACAGGAUUAGAUACCCGUGUAGUCCCUGUCUCUUAUAC